GACGUAGGGCGCGAGCGUUGUCCGGAUUUAUUGGGCGUAAAGAGCUCGUAGGCGGCUUGUCGCGUCGACCGUGAAAACUCGCAGCUCAACUGCGAGCCUGCGGUCGAUACGGGCAGGCUAGAGUUCGGUAGGGAGACUGGAAUUCCUGGUGUAGCGGUGAAAUGCGCAGAUAUCAGGAGGAACACCGAUGGCGAAGGCAGGUCUCUGGGCCGAUACUGACGCUGAGGAGCGAAAGCGUGGGGAGCGAACAGG
rnacentral:rRNA from 1 species